UGCGUAACGCGUAUGCAACCUACCAUCAACAGGGGGAUAACACUGAGAAAUUGGUACUAAUACCCCAUAAUAUCUCAUGCGGCAUCGCAUGGGGUUGAAAACUCCGGUGGUUGAUGAUGGGCAUGCGUUGUAUUAGCUGGUUGGUGAGGUAACGGCUCACCAAGGCGACGAUACAUAGGGGGACUGAGAGGUUAACCCCCCCACAUUGGUACUGAGACACGGACCAAACUCCUACGGAAGGCAGCAG
rnacentral:rRNA from 1 species